rnacentral:rRNA from 1 species
GGUUACGACCGGGAAGUUUGAUCCAGUCUCAGAAUGAACGUUGGCGGCGUGGAUUAGGCAUGCAAGUCGAGCGUGUACCCCGCAAGGGGGAAAGCGGCGUAAGGGAGAGUAAUACGUAGAUACGUGCCUCCGGGUCUGGGAUAGCCACGGGAAACUGUGGGUAAUACCGGAUAAUGUCUGAGGACCAAAGGUGUGAUUCCACCUGGAGAUCGGUCUGCGUCCUAUCAUGCUUGUUGGUGAGGUAACGGCUCACCAAGGCUACGACGGGUACGGGGUGUGAGAGCAUGCCCCCGCUCACUGGGACUGAGACACUGCCCAGACACCUACGGGUGGCUGCAGUCGAGGAUCUUCGGCAAUGGGCGCAAGCCUGACCGAGCGACGCCGCGUGCGGGAUGAAGGCCUUCGGGUUGUAAACCGCUGUCAGUGGGGAGGAAGGCCCUGUGAAGAGCAGGGUUUGACCUAUCCGCAGAGGAAGUGUGGGCUAAGUUCGUGCCAGCAGCCGCGGUAAGACGAACCACACAAACGUUAUUCGGAAUUACUGGGCUUAAAGGGUGCGUAGGCUGUGCGGAAAGUUGGGUGUGAAAUCCCCCGGCUCAACCGGGGAAUUGCGCCCAAAACUACCGUGCUUGAGGAAGACAGAGGUGAGCGGAACUUCGGGUGGAGCGGUGAAAUGCGUUGAUAUCCGAAGGAACACCGGUGGCGAAAGCGGCUCACUGGGUCUUUUCUGACGCUGAUGCACGAAAGCUAGGGGAGCAAACGGGAUUAGAUACCCCGGUAGUCCUAGCCGUAAACGAUGAGCACUGGGUUGAAGGGACCCCCAUAUCCUUUCAGCCGCAGCAAAAGUGUUAAGUGCUCCGCCUGGGGAGUAUGGUCGCAAGGCUGAAACUCAAAUGAACUGACG